CCUACGGGGGGCAGCAGUGGGGAAUAUUGGGCAAUGGAGGCAACUCUGACCCAGCAACGCCGCGUGAAUGAUGAAGGUCUUCGGAGUGUAAAGUUCUUUUCGAAGGGAAGAAGAAAGUGACGGUACCGGAGGAAUAAGACUCGGCUAACUACGGGCCAGCAGCCGCGGUAAUACGUAGGAGGCAAGCGUUAUCCGGAAUGACUGGGCGUAAAGGGGGCGUAGGGGGUUUGACGAGUUAGUAGCGCAACUCCGGAGCUCAACUUCGGAACUUCUACUAAAACUGUUGGACUUGCGUGCAGGAGGGGCAAUCGUCCUUCCUCGUGUAGCGGUGGAAUGCGUAGCUAUUAGGAGGACCCCCAGUGGCGACGGCGGAUUGCUAGACUGUAACUGACACUGAGGCACGAACGCGUGGGGAGCAAACAGGAUUAGAUACCCGAGUAGUC
rnacentral:rRNA from 1 species